rnacentral:rRNA from 1 species
AGCAGCCGCGGUAAUUCCAGCUCCAAUAGCGUAUAUUAAAGUUGUUGCAGUUAAAAAGCUCGUAGUUGAAUUUCGGGAUCAAUAUUUCGGUCAUGCCGUUGGUAUGCACUGUUAUCAUUGAUUUCUCACCUUCUAAAGAACCGUAAUGCCAUUAAUUUGGUGUUACGGGGAAUUAGGACUGUUACCUUGAAAAAUUAGAGUGUUUAAAGCAGGCUCACGCUUGAAUACAUUAGCAUGGAAUAAUGAAAUAGGACAUCCGAUUCUAUUUUGUUGGUUUCUAGGAUCGAUGUAACGAUUAAUAGGGAUAGUUGGGGGCAUUAGUAUUCAAUUGUCAGAGGUGAAAUUCUUGGGUUUAUUGAAGACUAACUACUGCGAAAGCAUUUGCCAAGGAUGUUUUCAUUAAUCAAGAACGAAAGUUAGGGGAUCGAAGACGAUCAGAUA